GCUUUUGUGCAUUCUGCCACAAUAAUGCACAAUAAUGUCUUCAUUUCCAUCCUUUUCACAUCAAAUGUUGAUAUGCAAUUCAUUUUGUCAUUCGAUUAAUUACUUGUAAUGGAAAUAUAAAUGAUAAUAUAUCUUAUCUAAAUGUCAAAUAAGCCUGACUGCAUGCAAAUAGGGACAUGCAACACUCUCAAGUGUCUCCUCUCUAUCCAGAUCUAGCAAACGAUCUUACUGUGGAAAAAGUAAAUUGUACAUUUUCAGCCUGGGAGACAGAAGAAGGAAUGCAUUUCCCAUGAUUCAACAUGAAACUAAGUAGAAACAUCUCACACUCAACAGGCCGCUGCAUCUAGGCUAGUCAAUGAACUGGAAGGGAAUUGGACAUGGUAUCUGCAGGAUAUUGGCAGCGGGCAGGGCCCCCCAUGAUUGCAGCUGAAAAUGAACGACGCUGGGGACUGUCAAGCUAAUGCCAAGUUUGAUGAAGGAAGCCAAAGCUUCUCUUCUCCAAAGUGUAAAGAAAACCCACACGACUGACAAUACAUCUCAGAGAUGACCGAACACUACACAUCGUUUCAUGCCUCUUCCGUGUCUAGCAUAUUCAAAAAGGAAAGUUCAGGAACUUGUUGUGUUUGGCCUUUGCUCUCCAUCCAUCCCCUGUUCAAAAUCAAACCGGCGUUCUGGUUGUGACCUGUUCUCUACUCUCCACUGUCGACUCUGUUAACAUUAGCCAAACUAAUGAGGCAGCGCUCCUUAUCUGCCUCCCUCCUUUCUUGACAUGAGCGUCCUGCACACAGUUCUCUCGCAGUCAUCGCUCCUCUUUGCGUCAGCUCCCGCAAGUCGGGGAGUCGAACCCCUCCGGCCCUCGCUCUUCGUGGGAACAACAUGCCCCCCCCCCACCUCCCCAAUGGACCUUAGGCCUUGUCAUCUUUAAACCUUCAAACAACACCCGAGUCACCCUCCCCCUUCCCACGGUUAAAAUAAAUUGUCCUUAGUGUAGAGGCGGCUGUCUGAAGCUUGCAAGUUAGGCCUUCCUGUCUUCGGGAUUUUGGAAGCCCUCCCCUAGAGAGUAAGAAAGACUUUGUGAGAAAGAUGAGAGAAAAGAGGAACGGGAAAAGAGAGCAAAUGAGAAGAAGGUGUUGUAAUUCCUGCCCACUCUUGAAUCAGGACAGCGCCCACACACUUUUUCUCAAGCCCCCACGUGCACCGAUGGCUGGGGUGAUAUAGCACGGGACAGGGUGUGUGUGUGUGUGUGUGUGCUGUAAUGACGGUGAGGUGGCGUUUAAUGGCUGGCCAAAGUAUCCUCGUGGGCGACUGCCGUUCCCAUGCCCUGCUGCAUUCCUCCCUCAGAUCCCAGACGCGUUCUUUUGCUACUAUUUAUUUUUCCUUCCCCCUACGUGGAGGCCAGGAUGUACAACGAGUGCAUUACCAGUGACCUGAGUGGGAGGGGAAACAGUGGAGCCCUCCUGAACACAAAUGGACACACACUCACACACACACACACAUUUAAAUGCUGCCAUUAGUCCGGCCCCCAAGGGGUUAUGCUCUCCUUUUAACACAGCGGUGACACUGCAUGUACUGCGCUCUGGGUAGUUCUGGAGCAGAUUGACCUAUCUUUAGGUCUGGGUGAUUAUCUUUUCCCCAUUUUCUGAAGUAUUGAUGAAAUUAUGCAUCAAAUGUUCAAUGAAAGGUUGUUUCUUUGACUUUGUUGGUGAUAACAAUAGGCAAAAAAUGUAUAUCAUCAAUAGAAUUAAUCCAAUUAUACUGCUGUUGAAGAUAUGACGAUGUUUAACAAUGCACAAGGAACAAGGAAAAUCUCAAAGAAUGAUUCUUUUAAAUUAUAUAAUCAUAGCCAUAUCAUAGAUCAUAGAUUCUGAGACUGACCUGCUUGAGCUGCACAAGCUGAAGGUUGUGAGUGAAUGAACAAUGGCAAGCUGAAAUGCUUUUAGUCACAGAGAUCACAAGAAACAUUUAAAAAAUCUUACUGACUGCAAACAUGUUGAACCGUAGUGUAUAUUAUUGAGUAUCUAUCUACAAAAAAUAUGUAAAUGUAAUAUGUAUAUGUAAAUAUUCCUCUGAAGGCUAAGCAGAAAGUCCUGUCUUCAG